UACGGGGGGAGCAAGCGUUGUUCGGAUUUACUGGGCGUAAAGGGCGCGUAGGCGGCCACCGCAAGUCAAUUGUGAAAUCUCCGGGCUCAACCCGGAACGGUCAACUGAUACUGCGGGGCUAGAGUGCAGAAGGGGCAACUGGAAUUCUCGGUGUAGCGGUGAAAUGCGUAGAUAUCGAGAGGAACACCUGCGGCGAAGGCGGUCUCCUGGGGCAUUCUUGACGCUGAGACGCGAAAGCUGGGGGAGCAAACGGG
rnacentral:rRNA from 1 species